rnacentral:tRNA from 1 species
GGAGAGGUGCCCGGAGCGGCUCAUCGGGGACCUGGAGGUUUACCUCAAGGCCGGGCCCACAAAGCCCACGCAGGUUCGAAUCCUGCCCUCUCCG